UGUCUGUAACCCUACUUUUGGUCUGUCUUUCAGGGUAAAGGUAGCAGUAAUGCUGACGCUGGCAAGCAAACUGAAGCGGGAGGACGGUCUCAAAGGGUCCCGGACAUCAGCCACAGCCUCCGACUCCACUCGGAGGGUAUCUGUGAGAGACAGGCUGCUUGUUAAAGAGGUCGCGGAGCUUGAAGCUAAUUUACCGUGUACAUGUAAGGUGCAUUUUCCUGAUCCAAACAAGCUUCAUUGCUUUCAGCUAACUGUAACCCCAGAUGAGGGUUACUACCAGGGUGGAAAAUUUCAGUUUGAAACUGAAGUUCCUGAUGCGUACAACAUGGUGCCUCCCAAAGUGAAAUGCCUGACGAGGAUCUGGCACCCCAACAUCACAGAGACAGGCGAAAUAUGUCUAAGCUUACUGAGAGAACAUUCGAUUGAUGGCACCGGCUGGGCUCCCACAAGGACCUUAAAGGAUGUUGUUUGGGGAUUAAACUCUUUGUUUACUGAUCUUUUGAAUUUUGACGAUCCGCUGAAUAUUGAAGCUGCAGAACAUCAUUUGAGGGACAAGGUUGCUUCCUGCUCUUUGUAUGAAAUAAGGGGAAGACUUGCAUUUCUAAACUGUUAGCCCCAGUAAGAUGGACCUAAAAUCCUCCAGACAGUGAUGCCUUCACAUGAAUUCUAAGAAGUGCCCCAGCCCCAUGCCCGUCCUCAUGCUGAGUCAUGAUGACAGUUACUGAACUUUCUCCUUACUUUAUUUCGUGCUCAUUGUUCAUCCCAAGUUUGACUGGUGGCCACUUAAGUGCCAGGAAGACUUCCGGAAUAAAGUGGAAGACUACAUUAAGCGUUAUGCCAGAUGAUAGGAGGAGGAGAUGGUGGGGCUGUGGACUGUGUUGUAGGCUUGUCUCCAACCUCAACCAAGAGGGAGCCCCCCCUCCCCAGUCCUCGCACUCCCCUGAGACCCACAGGGUCAUCGACAUCCUGUGACCAUGCUGUCCCAAGGAAGAACCUCUUCACGACUGCCCAUUGUAGAUGGAGAGUCCCACAUAAAUACAGCAAGAAAUGUGUUUGGGGUUCUAAAGAGUUGUCUGCUUCCCUUAACAUGUUUACUUUUUGGAAACUGUACUGUAUAGGCUAUUGAUGAGAUUCCUGAGAAGUUGUAAUGAACUCAGAAUUGAGGCUAGCGCUUGCUUCUUCCCCUUUUCCCAAACAAAAUCCUUCCCCGCACAAGUGAUGCUGAUGACGUGCUCAGUGUAGCUCGCAGAGGGGCGAUAAGAAACCCGCUACAUACUGUGAUUGGAUGCAAAUUCUCUUAGCUCCUCCCACGGAUGUUGGCCCUGCCUAGAUGUCGUGAAGCUUCCCAGAAUGCAUAGUCAUUCACUGUAGAUCUCUUACUGAAAUGCGUAUUUUAUUUAAUGUAAGUAUAUUUUGGAACAGAUUUGUAAUUUGUACAAUUUAAUGCUUUAAUUAUUUUUUUCUAUUCUCAUUUAGUUUGUAUUUUCAUUGUAUAGAGCAGACAGAAAGAUGUUGGGUCAAGCAACUAUUGAAGAGAAAUACAAAGAAAAUAUGAAAGACAUUAUUCCUUCUGUCCAAAUGAAAUGAGAAUUUGACUUUUAAAAAUCAGCUCUUGCUUUUGGGUCCAGAUGGGGCAAGGAAGUUUUAGAACCCUUUGAAGCUAGAUCAGGAUGAUUUUUGAAAAAGAAAAAGAGAAAAGGGAGCCCUUUCUCACAUGCUGCCCGGAGGAAACUGGCUGGAGCCCAGAUUAGCCAGGGGCUUGGUGUUCCACAGCAGUCUUGUGGUUGUGAGCCAGUGGGCAGUGCCAGAGAGAGAGACCCUCGUGUCCUGAGGGAUGGGAGAGAUACCUUGGGAAUCAGCCCACUGAUGUCUGAUGUCACUGAGACCGUACCUGUGGCCUUCUGAGUCUGCUGCAGUUCUGGGCCGUCUCAGGGGAGCCCCCUAGGCCUUGGAGGGCCGGGAAUCGGCAGCAGCAUAUAGCCAUAUUCGGUCAGGCCACUGCACUUCAGAGUAAGAACACUAAAGAGGCAAAUGGAUUUACUCCAGCAUUUAGACAUCUGAAUGAGUGAAAUCAAAUGCAAAAUAAAUGUAUGGUUUUCAUCUGCUGCCUGCCUGGCACACUAAAGUUUAACUGACAGCCUCCUUUGAGCUCUGGAUUCCCUCGUCUUCCAUCUACCCAGUCUGGAUGGUUGUUCUUAGUUUAUAAUAAAUCUCUGAGUAUGAGAUUAGUCUUCCUGGAGAUCGGCAGGGAAGGAAUGUAGGCCUUGUUUCCCAUUUGUAAUCAGGAAUUGUACGCGUUAGAUUGAGGGGGGCCUGACUGAUGGUCUCCUGGUGCACAGAGCAGGAAGAGUGGGGCUAGAUCAAGGGCACGGUGGCAUCUUGGAGGCUCAGGGCCUGUGAGAAGACAACAGUAAUCUCACCUCCUGAAAGCCUGGGAGAGGCGCUGCAGCUUACACACGUUUAAUUGGAGCUCUGCCCGGUUUCACAGGAACCCGGUCAGCUGGACCCAGGGCUGGCCUCUGCUAGGUGGGUCAGCAGACCAGCAGCUGGCCUGUCCACACGCCUGAGUUCUGCCCCUGGCGCAGGACACACAGUUCUCUGCCUGGGCAAUCCCAGGCCUGAGUCAUGACGCACCUCACAGCUGUCUGGGCAGCUCCCAGGCUGCACAGCUGGUGGUCCAGAUGGAGGUGAAGAAGUGAUAUCAGCGCCCACAGUUGAAUGGAAGUAUGUAUGUUGUAGGUAAAGGACUGGAAGGGACAGCUGUUGUGAACUCUGACCUUGAAAUGUUUGCACAGAAGAGAAAUACUUUACUUAUUAGAGAUCCAGUAAUUCUUCAAAAAUGACCUGUCCACAUGACGGGAUCAUCCCUUUCUGUCCAAUGGAAAUCUCUCAGGGCCCUGCCCCUUCCCCCUUUUGUUAAGAGUGCACCCAGCCUGGCCCAUCACAGUGGAGAACUGAUAGGGUGCUGCCUACUUGGCCAGCGGGGCCCACGGCAUCUUUUAGUGGCUGCGGAACCCUGACUUCCAGGCUUUUUGGUUUCUUGGGGUCUCCUCCCCACUCAGGUCACAGGAACACUUGUGGUUCUAGUUCAUGUGCUCCACCAACCUGGUGAUAGUUGAUGAUUUCCCGUCUGCCAGGUGUGGGUAUACAGAGCCAGCCCUGGAGCCAGGCAGGAGGGGAGCAGGCCCUGGGGACGUGAAGCUCCGGGACUUCUCCGAUGUCCACUUGCGUCCCCAUAACUCUGCUGCUUAGGAUUUGGUAGGUCAGCAGCAUGUUUUUCAAGCACACUCAGAAGGAAACAGUUCAGGAUAGACCUGACGGAAGGAAAAGCCUCACGUCUCCCGUCUUACCUUCCCUCAGACACACCACCUGCAAGUUAUGUCCCUUUGCAGUCUUCAUAAGGAGCCAGGCGAGUGUAUGACUCCAACAUUAAGUGCUGAUCUGGCUGUGUUCCUUGCUCAUCUUCUGUGUUAUUUUCAUCACUGUAUUUGGAUUGUUGCAGAGCUCUGGCCCAGGGUGCAGUGUCUUGGGUUCUGCUUAACAAGACCCCCUGUUUGGUUUGUUUGUUUGUAAGAUUUUAUUUAUUUGACAGACAGCGAGAGAGGGAACACAAGCAGGGGGAGUGGGAGAGGGAGAAGCAGGCUUCCCGCCGAGCAGGGAGCCCGAUGUGGGACUCGAUCCCAGGACCCUGGGAUCAUGACCUGAGCCGAAGGCAGAUGCUUAACCAACUGAGCCACCCAGGCGCCUCAAGACCCCCUGUUUUAUCACUAUCUCCACAAGCACUGAGAGCCUUAGAGGGCUGUUGAUGGUUUCUCCCGACUACAGCUUAUGCCAGGCUGUGCACCUGCUAGGGCAGUGGCUGCAGUACAGAAGUUCAUGAGAAAAUGGCAAAGAGCUGGUUCAGACUAUUUGCAGUAGCUAAAAUACUUUGAACGUCUUUAAAAGGAACACUUAGUAUUUACUAGUUUAAAUGUUUCAAAGUGUCCAGGCAUAUUUUUCCUCUGCCCUUAGUCUCCCGGACUGUUGAGGGUGCAGGAGGAAAUAGCAUCCUUCCCCAUGACUCAGCCGCAACCAGACCAGUCAUCAGAGUCUCAGGCCACCUGGUGGCAAAGCCAGCAUAUCUUCCUCUUACAGCAGCAGGAACAGAUUGAACAGCACUUCUGCUGGGCUCUGGAGUUGAGCAGAAAAAAUCCCAGAGGGCCGGCAAACUCCCAGGCAGUGGUGAUUGCUAAGAUGUGUUAAACUUGUUCAGAGGACAUGCCCCGCUGUUCCCUAGGGUUGCUCUGUUACUCAGCCCCUCACAUUCUUUAAAGAAGUUGGUAUGAAAAAAAUCACAAACUCCUAUUAAAUCAGACUUUUUGCAGAUUUAUCAAAAUCAACCAGAAUUUUUUUAAUGUAAAAUUCCAACCAAUUGUAAAACUGGUUAGCCACCAAUUGCAGUCUUUAACAAGACUUUUUUUCCAGCUAGUACAGUCUAUUCCAGGCGUUUUUUCACUUUUAUCCACGUAAAACUGUUUCCCCUUGGAAAGUCAGGUUUGCAACAAGUUCAUUAUUCUUCAUCAAACUGUGUCUACUAAAAUGCUAAUAGUCUUAGCAAAAUAAUGUUUUACUUUUCCUUUGCCAAAGAACUUGUAAAAUGAGAGCACCUGUCACUUCCCUCUUCUCCCUCCCAUAGCCCUCCCUCAAACAAAGUAACAGCUUGGAGCGGCUAACUCAGAGGGUUCCAUGUGGCCCACUGAAGUCCCCACUUAUGCCCUGGGUUUCCAUGGGUUACUGAAACUGAUCUAUUGAAAGAAUUGUGGUUGAAAAAAGUUCUUCAAUAAGCCCAGUGAUGAAGGCUUUUGGGGACCUUGCCUUGUUAAGAAUGUCUAUUCGUGUUAAGCUGUAUAAAGAACUGAAUUAUAAUCUUUUUUAAAAAAUCC